rnacentral:ncRNA from 1 species
UACAAAUGUAGAGGUGCAAACAUUAUAAGUAUUUUUUCAGAGUGGAUAACAAUGACGAAAAGAGAAAGGAAUGCUUGCCGAAAUUAAUCAAAAGUCAUUUUGAUUAGUUGGGGGCGCUCUCGAAAGGGACGUCACUGUCAUAGUGAGUGCAAUCUUUGAUUGUUAAUAAUGAACUAUGGAGAGCUACUGUGUCG